AUACUUACAUGGCAGGGGAGACACCAUGAUCAUGAAGGUGGUUUUCCCAGGGUGAGGCUCAUCCAUUACACUCCGGGUGUGCUGACCGCUGCAAUUUCCCCAAAUGCAGGUAACUCAACUGCAUAAUUUGUGGUAUUGUAUUUUUGUAAGGUGAUUCGAGUACC